GCAUGGGGUUAUCAUUCACCUAGUUGUUGCUUAUUUGUUGAGAAAGAGAUGUGUAUCUUAAUGGUCGGUCUUUGAUGCUGCCAGUGAGACUGCUCAAGUUUGGGGAGAUUGUACCACAAAUUCCUACCACUGUUGUGGAGGAAGGUUAGAGAUCUCAAGGAAGAGAUUGUUCCCAUGGACCUGUUAUAUAUGAUGGUGAGUUUGUUUUUGAAGCUGCUCAGAUCUUUGCAUCGUUCAAUGAUAUGAUUAUUGUUGACCACUAAACCAUCCUAUGCACACCAUCCUUUAUGCAGCUAGAGCUUGGCCUGGUUGAAAUCUUUGUCAGUCUGUGCAGACCAUAGUGGCA